rnacentral:rRNA from 1 species
GAUGAACGCUAGCGGGAGGCUUAAUACAUGCAAGUCGAGGGGUAACAGGGGCUUCGGCCCGCUGACGACCGGCGCACGGGUGAGUAACGCGUACGCAACUUACCUCCAAGCGAAGGAUAGCCCUGGGAAACUGGGAUUAAUACCUCAUGUGAUUAUGAUGCCGCAUGGUGUUAUAAUUAAAGUUCAGGCGCUUGGAGAUGGGCGUGCGUCCUAUUAGCUAGUUGGUGAGGUAACGGCUCACCAAGGCGACGAUAGGUAGGGGCGUGAGAGCGUGGCCCCCCACACGGGUACUGAGACACGGACCCGACUCCUACGGGAGGCAGCAGUAAGGAAUAUUGGACGAAUGGGCGCAAGCCUGAUCCAGCCAUCCCGCGUGCAGGAUGACAGCCCUACGGGUUGUAAACUGCUUUUGUUAGGAGAACCCCUCGAUUUAUCGGGGCGUGACGGUACCUUUCGAAUAAGCACCGGCUAACUCCGUGCCAGCAGCCG